AAGGUAGCUUGCUACCUGACCUAGCGGCGGACGGGUGAGUAAUGCUUAGGAAUCUGCCUAUUAGUGGGGGACAACAUUCCGAAAGGAAUGCUAAUACCGCAUACGCCCUACGGGGGAAAGCAGGGGAUCUUCGGACCUUGCGCUAAUAGAUGAGCCUAAGUCAGAUUAGCUAGUUGGUGGGGUAAAGGCCUACCAAGGCGACGAUCUGUAGCGGGUCUGAGAGGAUGAUCCGCCACACUGGGACUGAGACACGGCCCAGACUCCUACGGGAGGCAGCAGUGGGGAAUAUUGGACAAUGGGCGAAAGCCUGAUCCAGCCAUGCCGCGUGUGUGAAGAAGGCCUUUUGGUUGUAAAGCACUUUAAGCGAGGAGGAGGCUACUGAGAUUAAUACUCUUGGAUAGUGGACGUUACUCGCAGAAUAAGCACCGGCUAACUCUGUGCCAGCAGCCGCGGUAAUACAGAGGGUGCGAGCGUUAAUCGGAUUUACUGGGCGUAAAGCGUGCGUAGGCGGCUUUUUAAGUCGGAUGUGAAAUCCCUGAGCUUAACUUAGGAAUUGCAUUCGAUACUGGGAAGCUAGAGUAUGGGAGAGGAUGGUAGAAUUCCAGGUGUAGCGGUGAAAUGCGUAGAGAUCUGGAGGAAUACCGAUGGCGAAGGCAGCCAUCUGGCCUAAUACUGACGCUGAGGUACGAAAGCAUGGGGAGCAAACAGGAUUAGAUACCCUGGUAGUCCAUGCCGUAAACGAUGUCUACUAGCCGUUGGGGCCUUUGAGGCUUUAGUGGCGCAGCUAACGCGAUAAGUAGACCGCCUGGGGAGU
rnacentral:rRNA from 1 species